UGCAGCUCAGUGGUAGAGCACAUGCUUAGCAUGCAUGAGGUCAGGGAUCAAUCCCCAGCA
rnacentral:tRNA from 1 species